UACGGAGGGUGCAAGCGUUAUCCGGAUUUACUGGGUUUAAAGGGUGCGUAGGUGGGUAAGUAAGUCAGUGGUGAAAUCUUCGAGCUUAACUCGGAAACUGCCAUUGAUACUAUUUAUCUUGAAUACUUUGGAGGUAAGCGGAAUAUGUCAUGUAGCGGUGAAAUGCUUAGAUAUGACAUAGAACACCAAUCGCGAAGGCAGCUUACUACACAGUUAUUGACACUGAGGCACGAAAGCGUGGGGAUCAAACAGG
rnacentral:rRNA from 1 species